GGAUCACUCUGGAUGAUGGAAAAUGCAUUAUCCGUGCUUAAUACUAGACGGAAACAAAAUUUCUCUUCCUACUAUGUCUGUACCAUGAACAAGAUGUUCGCAACAAGUGGUCAACAAAUGUACUUUUCCACUCACUUCACACAAGAAUAUCUCAAGGGGCACAUGCA